GAACCUUACCUGGGCUCGAAAUGCUAUGGACCGGAGUAGAAAUAUUCCUUCCCGCAAGGGGCCGUAGUAUAGGUGCUGCAUGGCUGUCGUCAGCUCGUGUCGUGAGAUGUUGGGUUAAGUCCCGCAACGAGCGCAACCCUUACUUCCAGUUGCCAUCAUUUAGUUGGGCACUCUGGCAGAACCGCCUCGGAUAACGGGGAGGAAGGUGGGGAUGACGUCAAGUCCUCAUGGCCUUUAUGUCCAGGGCUACACACGUGCUACAAUGGCCGGUACAAACCGUCGCAAACCCGUGAGGGGGAGCUAAUCGGAAAAAGCCGGCCUCAGUUCGGAUUGUAGUCUGCAACUCGACUACAUGAAGCUGGAAUCGCUAGUAAUCGCGGAUCAGAAUGCCGCGGUGAAUACGUUCCCGGGCCUUGUCACACCGA
rnacentral:rRNA from 1 species